CCAUGAUGACAAGAAACAUUUUAAUGAAAAUUACAUUUGAGUUUACCAUCCCUUCAAGUGAAAAAGUCAAUUG